rnacentral:rRNA from 1 species
AACCUCCGCAAUGUGAGAAAUCGCGACGGGGGGAUCCCAAGUGCCAUUCUUAACGGGAUGGCUUUUCAUUAGUGUAAAGAGCUUUUGGAAUAAGAGCUGGGCAAGACCGGUGCCAGCCGCCGCGGUAACACCGGCAGCUCUAGUGGUAACAAUUUUUAUUGGGCCUAAAGCGUCCGUAGCCGGUUUAAUAAGUCUCUGGUGAAAUCCUGCAGCUUAACUGUGGGAAUUGCUGGAGAUACUAUUAGACUUGAGACCGGGAGAGGUUAGAGGUACUCCCAGGGUAGAGGUGAAAUUCUGUAAUCCUGGGAGGACCGCCUGUUGCGAAGGCGUCUAACUGGAACGGUUCUGACGGUGAGGGACGAAAGUUAGGGGCGCGAACCGGAUUAGAUACCCGGGUAGUCCUAACUGUAACGAUGCGGACUUGGUGUUGGGGUGGCUUUGAGCUGCUUCAGUGCCGAAGGAGCUGUAAGUCCGCGCCUGGGAGUACGGUCGCAAGACUAAAACUUAAAGGAAUU